rnacentral:rRNA from 1 species
UACGUAGGGGCCUAGCGUUGUCCGGAUUUAUUGGGCGUAAAGGGCUCGUAGGCGGCCAACUAAGUCAGACGUGAAAUCCCUCGGCUUAACCGGGGAACUGCGUCUGAUACUGGAUGGCUUGAGGUUGGGAGAGGGAUGCGGAAUUCCAGGUGUAGCGGUGAAAUGCGUAGAUAUCUGGAGGAACACCGGUGGCGAAGGCGGCAUCCUGGACCAAUUCUGACGCUGAGGAGCGAAAGCCAGGGGAGCAAACGGG